CACACCCGUUCCCAUGCCGAACACGGAAGUUAAGCUCUUCAGCGCCGAUGGUAGUUGGGGGUUUCCCCCUGUGAGAGUAGGACGUUGCUAGGC
rnacentral:rRNA from 1 species